rnacentral:rRNA from 1 species
UACGGGGGGGGCAAGCGUUGUUCGGAAUUACUGGGCGUAAAGGGCUCGUAGGUGGCCAACUAAGUCAUGCGUGAAAUCCCUCGGCUUAACCGGGGAACUGCGUCUGAUACUGGAUGGCUUGAGUUUGGGAGAGGGAUGCGGAAUUCCAGGUGUAGCGGUGAAAUGCGUAGAUAUCGGAAGGAACAUCAGUGGCGAAAGCGACUUCCUAGACCAAUACUGACGCUCAUGUGCGAAAGCGUGGGGAGCAAACAGG